AUGUACCCACGUAUAUUCCGGUUCCUCCGCGCCGUCCGCACCCACCUGACGACUGCUCGCUACGUUUUGUUAGCC
rnacentral:sRNA from 3 species